UACGUAGGUGGCGAGCGUUAUCCGGAAUUAUUGGGCGUAAAGCGCGCGCAGGUGGUUUCUUAAGUCUGAUGUGAAAGCCCCCGGCUCAACCGGGGAGGGUCAUUGGAAACUGGGAGACUUGAGUGCAGGAGAGGAAAGUGGAAUUCCACGUGUAGCGGUGAAAUGCGUAGAGAUGUGGAGGAACACCAGUGGCGAAGGCGACUUUCUGGCCUGCAACUGACACUGAGGCGCGAAAGCGUGGGGAGCAAACAGG
rnacentral:rRNA from 1 species